CCUACGGGGUGCUGCAGUGGGGAAUAUUGCACAAUGGGGGGAACCCUGAUGCAGCGACGCCGCGUGAGUGAAGAAGUAUUUCGGUAUGUAAAGCUCUAUCAGCAGGGAAGAAAAUGACGGUACCUGACUAAGAAGCCCCGGCCAACUACGUGCCAGCAGCCGCGGUAAUACGUAGGGGGCAAGCGUUAUCCGGAUUUACCGGGGGUAAAGGGAGCGUAGGUGGCAAGGCAAGUCGGAUGUGAAAACCCGGGGCCGAACCCCGGGAGUGCAUUUGAAACUGUCUGGCUAGAGUGCAGGAGAGGUAAGUGGAAUUCCUAGUGUAGCGGUGAAAUGCAUAGAUAUUAGGAAGAACACCAGUGGCGAAGGCGGCUUACUGGACUGUAACUGACGCUGAGGCUCGAAAGCGUGGGGAGCAAACAGGAUUAGAUACCCUAGUAGUC
rnacentral:rRNA from 1 species